rnacentral:rRNA from 1 species
AUUGAACGCUGGCGGAAUGCUUUACACAUGCAAGUCGAGCGGCAGCGCGGGGCAACCUGGCGGCGAGCGGCGAACGGGUGAGUAAUGCAUCGGAACGUACCCAGUCGUGGGGGAUAACUGUCCGAAAGGACAGCUAAUACCGCAUACGUCCUGAGGGAGAAAGCGGGGGAUCGCAAGACCUCGCGCGAUUGGAGCGGCCGAUGCCGGAUUAGCUAGUUGGUAGGGUAAAGGCCUACCAAGGCGACGAUCCGUAGCUGGUCUGAGAGGACGACCAGCCACACUGGAACUGAGACACGGUCCAGACUCCUACGGGAGGCAGCAGUGGGGAAUUUUGGACAAUGGGGCAACCCUGAUCCAGCCAUUCCGCGUGAGUGAAGAAGGCCU